UACGUAGGGGGCAAGCGUUGUCCGGAUUUAUUGGGCGUAAAGAGCGUGUAGGCGGCUUUGCAGGUCCGCUGUGAAAACUCGAGGCUCAACCUCGAGCUGUCGGUGGAAACCGUAAAGCUAGAGUCCGGAAGAGGAGAGUGGAAUUCCCGGUGUAGCGGUGAAAUGCGCAGAUAUCGGGAGGAACACCGGUGGCGAAGGCGGUUCUCUGGGCCUUACCUGACGCUGAGGAGCGAAAGCGUGGGGAGCGAACAGG
rnacentral:rRNA from 1 species